UAGUACAAUAAUAGCUAUUCUGACAUAGCAGGCCGUGAUUUUGCGCGGUGCCACAAAGCACCACCCCUCUUUUGUGCUUGGGGAAGUGGGCCAAUCAGAAGUAAAUGUAAAUGUAAGUUCUUUGGAAGAAGCUAGCUUGGUAUUCUCAGCAUGGAAAUCAUGGCAGAGGCUGCGAAGAAGACCAGCAAGCGACCGAACAAGAGCAAAUAUCAGACUGGUUUUUACAGAAAGGAUGCAGAACAGAUGCCGAGCGGGCCUUCUUGCUGUUGUACUAGUAGGACCAUGGAAACUCUGUCUGCCGCCUCGCUCAGCUCCUACCCAGCCUGAAACUCCAAUUCACCUGCCUGCCAUUUCCUGGUCUGCCACUGCGCUCUGCUCUGCUGCCAACGCUCAAUCAGACCUUUCCCAUCCCUGAAUAUUCAAUAAACCGUGUUCGACUGCUUUUCGUCA